AAAAAUGGCUCCUCUUCCUUCCUAGAGUGUGACCAUCUCUACCUGUGCGCCCACACGGCUGGCCUGAACAUGAGGCAGUGACUCCCGGCUGGAAGGGACCCCGAGGACAGCAAAUACCGAGAGGAGGCUCACCGCAAAGAAAGGGGAAGUACAAACUGUCCAAAUGGCUAGGAGGGGAGGACGUUGGUUCUGACACAGCCUGGGACCUACUCCUGACCCAGACGUGUGGCUCGGAGGAUGGGUUUCAGGAAGCCUGGCUGAGGGUGAGCACAGGAGGGUGAGCACAGGAGGCCGAGGCAGCUGGCUUGCUUGAGCCCAGGAGUUAGAGACCAGCUUGGGGCAACGUAGCAAGACCCCGUCUCUACAAAAAAAUUCAAAAAUUAAUCAGGCAUGGUGAUGCAUCUUUGCAAUCCCAGCUACUCAGGAGACUGAGGCAGGAGGGUCACCUGAGCCCAGGGAGGCCAAGGCUGCAAUGAGUUCUGAUCAUGCCAUUGCACUCCAGCCUGGGUGAGUUAGUGAAACCCUGUCUCAAAAAACAAAAAACAAAACCAAAAAAACGCUGGAACCAGAGGAGACCAAACAAGUGCAAAGGAAAGUAGGAACACCCUUCUUUACAGAGCCUCUUACACCUGCUGGGGCUGGAGCAGCCACAGCCGCAGCCUUAGCAGACAGGGACACAAGUCGUCCACGGCACCAGGGGCAGCGGCCCGGGAGCCUGGGCAACCUGUUACCACCAUUAGUCCUGCUCAUUACCUCUCACCCUCCACUAGAGACCCGUGAAGACAGGUGUCUUGUCCUGUUCACUUCUGUCUCCCCAACACCUAGUACAUAAUUAAUAAUUCAUAGCUUUGUAUCAAACAAUGAACAAAUGAUACAUCUGAAACCCAUUUAAUGUGCAGACACACCUUGUUAUCCACGUGCAUCUCCCACUCUGGAUUUUCCACAGCAAACACCUCCUCCUCCUGGCUCCUAGCCCGCUCCUGGGCCAUCCCACCCUCGCUUUCUGUGAGCUCAAGGAUUACAAACUAAUCCUAAUAUAUUUGCCUGAGCAGAACCUAAUUAGGAAGGUAAAUCUGCAAAAAAUAAAAGGUAAAACAAAAUAAAAACCCAAGGAGAGUGGCCUCUAACCCCUGGAGCAGAAGGAAAGGUGGUUUGGGCUUCCUUGUUCUAUAGUGUCCCUCUCUCAGCCCAAAUAAGGGGAAAAGCCUUCUCUCUCCAACAGGCAAGGCCAAAGGGAAAAGCAGAGGGGGGGUUUGUAAAAAAGGCAGCUGCACCUGCAAUCCCACCAUGGAAGUGGCCUUGGGGGUACAUUUUACCUAUCUUCCUGCUUCCAGGGCUUAGAAUUUCAGAUCCACCAGAGACUCCAGCAAAUGGUUAGAUAUUUUUAUUGCAAGGUAACUGAAAACCCAAUUCCAAGUGGCUUAAGAAAAAAAAAAAGGCAGGUAUGUGUGUAUGUAUGUGAGCGUGUGCAGACAAGCAGAAUUUGUUGGUGCAUGUAACCAAGAAGUCCAGGGGUAGGUAGAAGUGGCAAAAUACAGCGACUUGAACAAAUUACUUACUCCCCAUCUCUCCUCCAUAUCUUACAGGCAGACUGUCUCCAAACAGUGUCUCUGCCAGCAACCAACCUCGACCCUCCCCACUCCACGGCCAAUGGUCAAGAGUACCUUUUCUAGUCCAAGGAGCAAAAGUCCCAGACUAGCAGUGAUUGGGCCUGAUUGGCUCCUCUUCGGCCACAUGGGCAUCCAUGAGCCAAUCAUAUGGUCAGAGGGACUUACUACUUGAAUGGGUCAGCUCUCGGUCACACGUUCUUCCCCUGGGAGCAGGGUAGUGUUCAUCCACCUGCUGCCCAAGGAUGGCAAAUGGGGCAACUGAGGCUUAAAGGGUACAAGUGGCUGCCCUAAGUCAUGUGGCUAGAGGCUGGAACUCAGGCAGCCUGCCUGCAACCAUGAGGUCUACUGCUGCUGCAUGGAGAAGGGGAGGUUUGAGGGAGGCAGGAGGAUGAGGACCCUGCCUCUUUCUCCAGCCGCACCAACCCAGCUGGAGGGGAGCUGAAAAGGAGGCUGUCGAUUCAAGGCCCGCCCCAAUCCCUGAAAAGGGGCCGUCACUUCGUGUGCCCCUUCCAAGCAGACAAGCAGAGCAAGGAGCAGAUGGGAAGUUGCCCACCCAGGGACCAGCUCCAAACCUUCCAGAAACCUGCAAACAUGAAACAAUCAUAGAUGAGACGAGGCUUGAAAGCCACCAUUUUUAAAAUAAAAGGA
rnacentral:lncRNA from 1 species